rnacentral:misc_RNA from 1 species
AAAGAUCGCAGCCUUCGGCAGCUCCUACAGGGAAACCUUAUCCCCGUGUAGGAGCUGCCGAAGGCUGCGAUCUUU